UACGAAGGGGCUAGCGUUGUUCGGAAUUACUGGGCGUAAAGCGCGUGUAGGCGGGUCUUUAAGUCAGGGGUGAAAUGCCAAGGCUCAACCUUGGAACUGCCUUUGAUACUGGAGACCUUGAGUCCGGGAGAGGUGAGUGGAAUUGCGAGUGUAGAGGUGAAAUUCGUAGAUAUUCGCAAGAACACCAGUGGCGAAGGCGGCUCACUGGCCCGGAACUGACGCUGAGGUGCGAAAGCGUGGGGAGCAAACAGG
rnacentral:rRNA from 1 species